rnacentral:rRNA from 1 species
AAGACCUUGCGCUUUUGGAGCGGCCGAUGUCUGAUUAGCUUGUUGGUGAGGUAAAGGCUUACCAAGGCUUCGAUCAGUAGCUGGUCUGAGAGGACGGCCAGCCACACUGGGACUGAGACACGGCCCAGACUCCUACGGGAGGCAGCAGUGGGGAAUUUUGGACAAUGGGGGCAACCCUGAUCCAGCCAUGCCGCGUGAGUGAAGAAGGCCUUCGGGUUGUAAAGCUCUUUCGGCCGGAACGAAAUCGCAUCUCCUAAUACGGGGUGUGGAUGACGGUACCGGAAGAAGAAGCACCGGCUAACUACGUGCCAGCAGCCGCGGUAAUACGUAGGGUGCGAGCGUUAAUCGGAAUUACUGGGCGUAAAGCGUGCGCAGGCGGCUCUUCAAGUCAGAUGUGAAAGCCCCGGGCUUAACCUGGGAACU